AUUGAACGCUGGCGGCAGGCCUAACACAUGCAAGUCGAGCGGAGCGGCGGACGGGUGAGUAAUGCCUAGGAAUCUGCCUGGGAGUGGGGGAUAACGUCCGGAAACGGGCGCUAAUACCGCAGACUAUCAGAGGAGCCUAGGCCGGAUUAGCUAGUUGGUGGGGUAAAGGACUACCAAGGCGACGACCCCUAACUGGUCUGAGAUGAUGAGCAGUCACACUGGAACUGAGACACGGUCCAGACUCCUACGGGAGGCAGCAGUGGGGAAUAUUGGACAAUGGGCGAAAGCCUGAUCCAGCCAUGCCGCGUGUAUGACGAAGGUCUUCGGGUUGUAAAGCACUUUCAGUUGGGAGGCGUUACCAGCAGAAUAAGCACCGGCUAACUUCGUGCCAGCAGCCGCGGUAAUUC
rnacentral:rRNA from 1 species